ACACUAAUACACUAAUGUGCAUUAGUGUAGUCGCGUGAAAUUCAUGUCAGCUUGCGUGUGUAACUGCAUGCGACAUUCAUUAUAUCGAAAUUGGAGCAGGCAAGUCGGAGCACUAGAGCACUGUCACAUUCAGUCUAGAACGAAAGCUCCAGCCGUUCGGAACCAUUCGGCAGCGGUUUUCUCAAAUGUCAACCUGAAGGAAGUAAAUCAUAUGUGCUCACUUAAUGCCGGAGCGUAUCAGGACAGUUUGGCUCUUGCAACCGAAUAUUUAAUUAUUCUUGGUACAAUUAAUGAAAUUCAAAAGUUACACAUUCGAACGGUACAAAUGGGACCAGGAAGCUUCUCAAUAGUUUGGUGUUAUAACGGGGCGAAUGGAUCUUCAGGACUCGAGUGGUCUGACUCCUUCGAGACAGAGCGCGUCAACUCAGACGACAAAUGUAACUUACUCGAGCAACAUGGCACUGCUUAAGCCAGGAGCCAGUAGUGCCGAGUUUGGUCAAGAAGUUGAAAUUCACAAUCUACUUAUCAUCGAUCAGAAUACGUUCGAGUUGCUACAUGCACAUCAAUUCAUGCAAACGGAGUAUACUAUGUCACUGAUUCCGGCGAAGUUGGGUAACGACUCAAAUACUUAUUGCAUCGUCGGAACAGCACUGGUACAUCAAGCGGAACCGGAACCCAAAGUAGGAAGGAUUAUCAUCUAUCACUACGCGGAUGGAGCCCUCACUCAAGUUAGCGAGAAGGGAAUCAAGGGAGCGUGCUAUUCUCUCAUUGAGUUUAACCGUCGUGUAUUAGCUAGCAUCAAUUCAACUGUACGAUUGUAUGAGUGGACUGAUGAUAAGAAUUUGCGACUUGAAUGUAACCAUUUCAAUAACGUGUUGGCAUAUAAAACCAAGGGCGACUUCAUUUUGGUGGGUGAUUUGAUGCGAUCUGUCACGCUGGAGGUAAUUUUGAGGAGAUCGCUCGCGACUAUUAACCAAAUUGGAUGACAGUGAUUUCCUCGGGCGGAUAACAGAACAAUCUAUUUGUUUGCCUAAAAGAUGAGGCCGCAGCAACGGACGACGAACGAUAGCAAGUACCAAAGGUUGCUCAAUGCGAUCUCGGUGAUAUGGUGAAUGUAUUCCGCCACGGUUCGCUCGUGAUGCAAAACUUUGGUGAGCGAACGACGGCGACAACGGGUUGUGUGCUAUUUGGCAUAGUCAACGAUGCAAUUGGGAAAUUUGACUGACACAAUCAAAUCUGUUGAAAAUUGCAGAUCGACGUGGAUGGAACUAAGAAGGAAGCGGCCGUACAUGAUAUAAUCAAGAUUAUAGAAGACCUAACAUGGAUACAUUAGGAUGUCUAGUGUUGAUCAUUAUUAUUGAAUGGAUGCUAUCAGUUGUUUUCUGGUUGACAAAACGAGAAGUUACAAUUUUUUCUAAAAAAGUUGAUUAAUAAAUCAACUCAUUCAAAGAGAGAUGUUCGAACUGACUGCUGGACGAAGAUCGAGCAAGCUCAUGAAUUUCAGCAAUGGUCGCGAAAAAUAAUUUCAUGUUUGUAGGGUAAUAAAGAAAUUUCAGUGAA